GACGAACGCUGGCGGCGUGCCUAAUACAUGCAAGUAGAACGCACAGUUUAUACCGUAGCUUGCUACACCAUAGACUGUGAGUUGCGAACGGGUGAGUAACGCGUAGGUAACCUGCCUGGUAGCGGGGGAUAACUAUUGGAAACGAUAGCUAAUACCGCAUAAUAUUAAUUAUUGCAUGAUAAUUAAUUGAAAGGUGCAAUUGCACCACUACCAGAUGGACCUGCGUUGUAUUAGCUAGUAGGUGAGGUAACGGCUCACCUAGGCGAGGAUACAUAGCCGACCUGCGAGGGUGAUCGGCCACACUGGGACUGAGACACGGCACAGACGCCUACGGGAGGCAGCAGUAGGGAAUCUUCGGCAAUGGACGAAAGUCUGACCGAGCAACGCCGCGGGAGUGAAGAAGGUUUUCGGAUCGGAAAGCUCUGUUGUAAGAGAAGAACGGGUGUGAGAGUGGAAAGUUCACACUGUGACGGUAUCUUACCAGAAAGGGACGGCUAACUACGUG
rnacentral:rRNA from 1 species